CUGAGUGGGACAGGCAAUGCUCUCUGCUCUCAGAGCCAGCUGGUUCCUUUUGCAGGAGAUGUGCAGCACAGAGCUGCCAUGGAAGCUGUGCCUCUCCCAGAGCUAUACUGCAUCACACAGACAAUGUGGAUGUGCUUUAAUGGGUGGCAUUCACAAUGAGUAAAUGACUAGGAAUAUUGGUACACAGGAAGAAUCCUUAGUCCAGCAAAUAUUCAAGCAAGGUUGAACUGUAACAGCAAAAAUAAUUUUGUGAGAGGGAAACUCGAAUUUAUUGUAUUGCCUUCUUACACGCUCCUUUGAUGUACAGGGAGGAAGCUGAGCCAUAAAAGAAUGGACUGACUGGGACAAAGGGGAAAAUCCCAAUUUCAAACAAUAACAAGUCCUUUGUUGCUGAUGAUGCCUUCUCAAUUAUUUUCUCUGCUUUGACUUUUUGUUCUAUGCUUUGAUUUUCUUCCUCUGCAUCACAGAAUGAAUAAACAACUGAACAACAACGUAAA